CUUCGUUCAUGUUGUUAAUAAAUUGUGGUUUCAUUGUUAUCUAAUAAGGUACUUUACUCACAGUAUAUUAUGCCUUCGUGAACGCUUCCGCUCUAUAGAUACAUAAUAUUAUUUGCCCGCGGUCUGCGGACGUCAUCUACGUCGACUACAUCAGUACGUACAUUGCUUUUCGUUGCUGUUGUAAUGUUGUGCCGCCGCCCUGUCAUUCCGUUCCUGUUGUUAACAUUCGUCCGAGUACGAAAUCCACCCGUCAUCCAAGUGGUUUCGGCAACAGCUUCCUCGUUUCGCGCCGUUCAUUGACGUGUUUAUGCGUAUAAUGAAUGUUUUGACAUGUAUCGUGAUAUUAUCAGAGUAAAGACAGUUUACAAAUGAAGGGGAAUCAAAUCUUACAGCUGUUCUUUCUCAAGUUUCCAAGUUAGGAAAUAAAAAUAUGACAUUCCAACUGUUACAAUACUUAUGAAUUUAUGCAUAACAUUGCUUGUUCUAAAUUUCAUGAAGAGAGAUUAAAAAAGCUCAAGAUUUACUUGACCAGACUACCAAAUCCUGUAGACAAGGAAAAUGCAGAACACCCCCCUUUCGACGCAAAAUUUUUUUUUUGUUAUGUCAUUGCCUGUAGAAAUAUAUUUCAAGAGUGGGAUUCAACAGAAGAAAAAAUCCAAGAAGAGUUAACAGCUAUUAAAUACAUCUUCUGUCUAUUCAAUAGUGUCUAUCACAUUCAUCAUCAUUAACUACAAUAGAAAUAUGUUCAUCUGAACGUAAAACUCUAUCA